CGCGCGCGGAACAAAUAUAAAACAAAAUUUAAAAGUGUUGCCUUUGCCCAGUGUGAGGAUUUUGAUGUAGUUUCUCAGGAGAAGAUUAAGUGGGAAAUACGUCAGUAGCUCCGAUGUGGCAGGAGUAGAUUAUAGUUCUUGAGAUCGGCCUUUCUUCGACACCAUGGUGCAAUAGCAUGCAGAAGGUGAUGUUGUGGUGCGAGUUCGACAAUGGCAUGUCAAGCAGCCGGGUGGCCGGCAUGGCGCCGGUAGUCUUUCU